rnacentral:rRNA from 1 species
GACGAACGCUGGCGGCGUGCCUAAUACAUGCAAGUAGGACGCAGUUGCGAACGGGUGAGUAACGCGUAAGUAACUGCCUAUUAGAGGGGGAUAACUAUUGGAAACGAUAGCUAAUACCGCAUACUAGUAGAUGGACCUGCGUUGUAUUAGCUAGUAGGUAGGGGAAUGGACUACCUAGGCAACGAUACAUAGCCGACCUGGGAGGGUGGUCGGCCACAAGGGGACUGGGACACGGCCAAGACUCCUACGGGAGGCAGCAGUAGGGAAUCUUCGGCAAUGGGGUGAAACCUGACCGAGCAACGCCGCGUGAGUGAAGAAGGUUUUCGGAUAGUAAAGCGCUGUUGUUAAGGAAGCGGUACUUAACCAGAAAGGGACGGCUAACUACGUGCAAGCAGCCGCGGUAAUAC